rnacentral:lncRNA from 1 species
CAUUUUCGUUUGAAAACACAACGGAAAUAGCUAGAAUUUUUUUUUAAAAGACCUGACCCCAGGGUAUGUCAGAUCCGCCACAAAUACAGAGAGUUCACUGAUCACACGGACAGAGUCUCCCCUGUAUUUGCACAGCGUCGCACAAGUACAACAAGUAAACAACCACAAUUAAAUGAUUAUAAAAAUAACUAUACAAUCAUUCAUUCACCAUUCACAUCACAGUUAUAUAUUCAAUAUUUAAAUAUGAAUCUACAUCUAUCAGUUAAAACGUUUCCAACCCAGAAACAGGUUUUGAAAUACUAAGAUACAAAAUCCACAGAAAACCUUUUUAAAAACUGUUCACUACACGGAAACUUUUAUCUUUUGAAAAUGCUACCACGAGGGGUAGAAAACCAUUCAACAUUUGAAAUCCACAAAUCCUUUUUAUUACAUCAUAAAUCCAACAGAAAUCUCAGAUAUUCAAAUAAUAUAACAAAACUGAACCAUAAUAUGUCUAAGUAAUUUAUCAGGCAUGAA